rnacentral:rRNA from 1 species
GACGUAGGUGGCAAGCGUUGUCCGGAGUUAUUGGGCGUAAAGCGCGCGCAGGCGGUUCGAAAAAGUCCAUGGUGAAAGCGCCUGGCUCAACUGGGCGAGUGCCGUGGGGACUGUCGAGCUGGAGGGAAGCAGAGGCGAGUGGAAUCCGGGUGUAGUGGUGAAAUGCGUAGAUAUCAUUUGGAACGCCAAUGGUGAAAACAACUCGCUGGGGAAGUGCUGACGCUGAGACACGAAAGCCAGGGGAGCGAACGGG